rnacentral:rRNA from 1 species
CAAGGGAUCUUUAGCUCGCUGGGCGACGAAGGGCGCAGCGGAAGGCGAUAUGUGCCGGAGCAGCAGCAAUGAUGGCACGUGCC